rnacentral:rRNA from 1 species
GUCCUUUUGUUUGUUUAUAAGGUCUGACCUGCCCAGUGAUUUAUUUAACGGCCGCGGUAUUUUGACCGUGCAAAGGUAGCAUAAUCAUUAGUCUUUUAAUAGGAGGCUGGAAUGAAGGGUUUGACGAGACAUUUACUGUCUUAUUUAUAUAGAUUGAAUUUAAUUUAUGAGUCAAAAAGCUUAUAUUUACUUGAAGGACGAGAAGACCCUAUAGAGCUUUACAUUUUUGUUUUAUUUAUAUAUUAGAAUAUAAUUUUAUCUAUGAAAUAGAAUUGUUUGGUUGGGGUGACAAAAAUAUAUAAUUAACUUUUUUUAUUUUAUAAACAUUUAUUUAUGAAUAUUGGAUCCAAUAUUAUUGAUCAUUAGAUUAAGUUACCUUAGGGAUAACAGCGUAAUCUUCUUCCAGAGUUCAUAUUUACGGGAAGGAUUGCGACCUCGAUGUUGGAUUAAGAUAAUAGCUGGGUGUAGUAGCUUAGUUAAUAGGUCUGUUCGACCUUUGAUUUCUUACAUGAUCUGAGUUCAGACCGG